UGAGGGAAUAUUUGGGGUCAAUGGGCGAAAGCCUGAACCAGCCAUGCCGCGUGAAGGAAUAAGGCCCUAUGGGUCGUAAACUUCUUUUGUAUCGGAGCAAUAAGGGCCACGAGUGGUCCGAUGAGAUUACGAUACGAAUAAGCAUCGGCUAACUCCGUGCCAGCAGCCGCGGUAAUACGGAGGAUGCAAGCGUUAUCCGGAUUUAUUGGGUUUAAAGGGAGCGUAGGCGGGCUGUUAAGUCAGCGGUCAAAUGUCAGGGCCCAACCUUGGCAUGCCGUUGAUACUGGCGGCCUUGAGUUCACACAAGGAAGGUGGAAUUCGUCGUGUAGCGGUGAAAUGCUUAGAUAUGACGAAGAACUCCGAUUGCGAAGGCAGCUUCUGGGGUGUUACUG
rnacentral:rRNA from 1 species